rnacentral:rRNA from 1 species
UACGUAGGGUGCGAGCGUUGUCCGGAUUUAUUGGGCGUAAAGAGCUCGUAGGCGGUUUGUCGCGUCGGCCGUGAAAUCUCCACGCUUAACGUGGAGCGUGCGGUCGAGUACGGGCAGACUUGAGUUCGGUAGGGGAGACUGGGAAUUCCUGGUGUAGCGGUGAAAUGCGCAGAUAUCAGGAGGAACACCGGUGGCGAAGGCGGGUCUCUGGGCCGAUACUGACGCUGAGGAGCGAAAGCGUGGGGAGCGAACAGG